rnacentral:rRNA from 1 species
UGGCGGCAGGCCUAACACAUGCAAGUCGAACGGUAGCACAGAGAGCUUGCUCUCGGGUGACGAGUGGCGGACGGGUGAGUAAUGUCUGGGAAACUGCCUGAUGGAGGGGGAUAACUACUGGAAACGGUAGCUAAUACCGCAUAACGUCGCAAGACCAAAGAGGGGGACCUUCGGGCCUCUUGCCAUCAGAUGUGCCCAGAUGGGAUUAGCUAGUAGGUGGGGUAACGGCUCACCUAGGCGACGAUCCCUAGCUGGUCUGAGAGGAUGACCAGCCACACUGGAACUGAGACACGGUCCAGACUCCUACGGGAGGCAGCAGUGGGGAAUAUUGCACAAUGGGCGCAAGCCUGAUGCAGCCAUGCCGCGUGUAUGAAGAAGGCCUUCGGGUUGUAAAG